AGCAAUGAGUCGAGCGUCUAUCCUCAGUAAAAUUCCUCUCCAAAUAGUCUUGAGGUCUGAUUUUAAGCCCCUUAUAACUCUCCUCUAGCAUCCAAAUCCUUUGUUCUCGACUUGGCCUAUCAUGGACUUUGCAUUCAAUUGUUAAUUUUUACAUUAACAAUCCGCAUAUCAAUCAACGUAGCUUAGCUAAUCUGGCACAUUGUACUUAAUCCUUAAUAAGUAUGUACAUCCCACUGCAUAAUUGUACACUUCCGUUUGAAUAAAGAUGUACAUCUCCAAGCAUUAUUCUGUGCUUCCUACACUGUUUCAAGAUUUUCAGGAUUUAAAAGCGAUACACAGUCUGAAUUAUCAACAUAAAGAGUUUUAUUUGGACUAAGAGGUGCAAAUUUACACUGUACUGACUUUGUUUCAUAAAUAUAUUUAAGGACACUCGUGUUGAGCGGGGUGUUUCUGGAAAACGAGGUUGCUAUGUUCCUAUUGAAGUCAUAAACUUUGAGUAAUCAUCUGAAUGGUUUAGCUUAGAAGCGUGGUUUAACAUAACGUACCGCAACAAAAUCAAUCAUAAAUAUUUAGUCUUCAGUGUGUAUGUAUAUUCUUGUGUUUGUGUUCAAUAUUUUGGACGGUUUUUAAAAUAUUGGACUUGUUUUUGUAACAGUAAUUGCAUUGAAUAUGGAGGGCUACCAGCACCUCGCACCCGUCCAGAGACCUCGUGGGCCGCUGUGGUGGCCACGAGACUUCCCUCAAGGACAUUUCUCUUAUCCACCACAGCGUUACCGACCGGGAACGCCGAUGAAGUUGAAGGUUGUUAAUACAGAACUUUAAUCGUGAUAGGGGAAUGCCAAACAACAUGGAGUGGCUCUACUUCUGAUGAUAAAAAAACGUAUACGUAUGUGUGUGUAUGUAUGCAGGCACAAUCGUGCGUGUUCGCAGUGGAACGCAAUCCUUGUGUUCCUACACUGCUGUGUAUGUACACUGCGCUGUGUGUCUGUAUGUAUGUGCACCCCUGUAUAUGCACACUCGUGUGUGAAUGCACAACGCUGUAUAUAAUUAUAAACAGUCGUGUUAGGAUGCACACUCGUGUGUGCAUGUCUACUCGUCCAUGUUCUUUUUAAAGGAAGGAAAUGGUAGCAAUAAUGUACGAUCAGUCAUCUUUAAAAAAACAAAUCAGGUCUUUAUUAAUCUGCAACAAUCUCAACGUUAAAACUCGCAUCAAAAUAUUUAUUAAUUCGCUUUUUCAAACAGUUAAGGAACUAGGAAAAUUAUUUCACUUUCAUUAAUUCAACAGUAAUAAAAUAUUCAAAAAAUCAAACACGUGAACGUCUUAAUCCUUCCCAAUUGACGUCCUUAUCGACUGAAGCCAUUCGUCCACAAGCCCAAGCCAUCAAACAUAGGAACAACGAACGCACAUUCUGAAACCGACACUUUGAAGUAGUUUUUGUUUCAUUAAACAAUAUUGAAAAUUAAAGAAAUUGUUUAAAAUAAAGGGCAACGUUAUGGUCACAGUCUUUCUCCAACUUUAGCUCAACAAGACCACUUAGUCACGAGAGUAAAAUCAGGAAUUGGACCACCUCACAACCACUGUGCAUCACACAACUUCAACAAGUAUUCCGAUAUGACUACUUAGCACCACCUUAACGUGACGAAGUCUAGAAGUCACUUCAACACUCAAGUAGCUGUGAGAAGAUGACAACACGUGGCACCUUCUACCAUAAACACCACACAUUUAACAGUGCCGAUGAUACAACCACCAGACGAAGCAAUGCAUCUAUCGAAGAAUAAAAUUGUUGUCAUCCUCAACUAAGUGAACACUUCUGCAACUUUAAAGGCAUACUUUUUUUCCGAACACAUCAGAAAGCAUUCACAACAUCACUCGAGCUUAGUGUACGGAAGUAAUCAUUUGAACCUUAUUAAUUGAUAUAACUGAGACACAAACAUGCACAUUCCAGGACUUCAAGAGUUAA